GACGAACGCUGGCGGCGUGCUUAACACAUGCAAGUCGAACGGAAAGGCCCUGCUUUUGUGGGGUGCUCGAGUGGCGAACGGGUGUGUAACACGUGAGUAACCUGCCCUUGACUUUGGGAUAACUUCAGGAAACUGGGGCUAAUACCGGAUAGGAGCUCCUGCUGCAUGGUGGGGGUUGGAAAGUUUCGGCGGUUGGGGAUGGACUCGCGGCUUAUCAGCUUGUUGGUGGGGUAGUGGCUUACCAAGGCGUUGACGGGUAGCCGGGCUGAGAGGGUGACCGGCCACAUUGGGACUGAGAUACGGCCCAGACUCCUACGGGAGGCAGCAGUGGGGAAUAUUGCACAAUGGGCGGAAGCCUGAUGCAGCAACGCCGCGUGCGGGAUGACGGCCUUCGGGUUGUAAACCGCUUUCGCCUGUGACGAAGCGUGAGUGACGGUAAUGGGUAAAGAAGCACCGGCUAACUACGUG
rnacentral:rRNA from 1 species